GGGUUGUGAGGUUAAGCGACUAAGCGUACACGGUGGAUGCCCUGGCAGUCAGAGGCGAUGAAGGACGUGCUAAUCUGCGAAAAGCGUCGGUAAGGUGAUAUGAACCGUUACAGCCGGCGAUGUCCGAAUGGGGAAACCCAGUGCAAUUCGUUGCACUAUCGUUAACUGAAUACAUAGGUUAACGAGGCGAACCGGGGGAACUGAAACAUCUAAGUACCCCGAGGAAAAGAAAUCAACCGAGAUUCCCCCAGUAGCGGCGAGCGAACGGGGAGCAGCCCAGAGUCUGAAUCAGCUUGUGUGUUAGUGGAACGGUCUGGAAAGUCCGACGGUACAGGGUGAUAGUCCCGUACACCAAAAUGCACAGGUUGUGAACUCGAAGAGUAGGGCGGGACACGUGGUAUCCUGUCUGAAUAUGGGGGGACCAUCCUCCAAGGCUAAAUACUCCUGACUGACCGAUAGUGAACCAGUACCGUGAGGGAA
rnacentral:rRNA from 1 species